UCGAACGAAGCACUUUAUUUGAUUUCCUUCGGGACUGAUUAUUUUGUGACCGUUGAGGCGGACGGGUGAGUAACGCGUGGGUAACCUGCCUUGUACAGGGGGAUAACAGUUGGAAACGGCUGCUAAUACCGCAUAAGCGCACGGCAUCGCAUGAUGCAGUGUGAAAAACUCCGGUGGUAUAAGAUGGACCCGCGUUGGAUUAGCUAGUUGGUGAGGUAACGGCCCACCAAGGCGACGAUCCAUAGCCGACCUGAGAGGGUGACCGGCCACAUUGGGACUGAGACACGGCCCAAACUCCUACGGGAGGCAGCAGUGGGGAAUAUUGCACAAUGGGCGAAAGCCUGAUGCAGCGACGCCGCGUGAGCGAAGAAGUAUUUCGGUAUGUAAAGCUCUAUCAGCAGGGAAGAUAAUGACGGUACCUGACUAAGAAGCACCGGCUAAAUACGUGCCAGCAGCCGCGGUAAUACGUAUGGUGCAAGCGUUAUCCGGAUUUACUGGGUGUAAAGGGAGCGCAGGCGGUGCGGCAAGUCUGAUGUGAAAGCCCGGGGCUCAACCCCGGUACUGCAUUGGAAACUGUCGUACUAGAGUGUCGGAGGGGUAAGCGGAAUUCCUAGUGUAGCGGUGAAAUGCGUAGAUAUUAGGAGGAACACCAGUGGCGAAGGCGGCUUACUGGACGAUAACUGACGCUGAGGCUCGAAAGCGUGGGGAGCAAACAGGAUUA
rnacentral:rRNA from 1 species